rnacentral:rRNA from 1 species
UGGGGAAUUUUGGACAAUUGGGCGAAAGCCUGAUCCAGCAAUGCCGCGUGUGUGAAGAAGGCCUUCGGGUUGUAAAGCACUUUUGUCCGGAAAGAAAUCCUUGGCUCUAAUACAGUCGGGGGAUGACGGUACCGGAAGAAUAAGCACCGGCUAACUACGUGCCAGCAGCCGCGGUAAUACGUAGGGUGCAAGCGUUAAUCGGAAUUACUGGGCGUAAAGCGUGCGCAGGCGGUUUGCUAAGACCGAUGUGAAAUCCCCGGGCUCAACCUGGGAACUGCAUUGGUGACUGGCAGGCUAGAGUAUGGCAGAGGGGGGUAGAAUUCCACGUGUAGCAGUGAAAUGCGUAGAGAUGUGGAGGAAUACCGAUGGCGAAGGCAGCCCCCUGGGCCAAUACUGACGCUCAUGCACGAAAGCGUGGGGAGCAAACAGGAUUAGAUACCCUGGUAGCCCACGCCCUAAACGAUGUCAACUAGUUGUUGGGGAUUCAUUUCCUUAGUAACGUAGCUAACGCGUGAAGUUGACCGCCUGGGGAGUACGGUCGCAAGAUUAAAACUCAAAGGAAUUGACGGGGUCAUAGCUGUUU